AACGAACGCUGGCGGCAUGCCUAACACAUGCAAGUCGAACGAGACCUUCGGGUCUAGUGGCGCACGGGUGCGUAACGCGUGGGAACCUGCACUUAGGUUCGGAAUAACUCCCCGACAGGGGUGCUAAUACCGGAUAAUGUCUUCGGCCCAAAGAUUUAUCGACUUUGGUUGGGCCCGCGUUGGAUUCGCUAGUUGGUAGGGUAAAAGCCUACCAAGGGGACGAUCCAUAGCUGGUCUGAGAGGAUGAUCAGCCACACUGGGACUGAGACACGGCCCAGACUCCUACGGGAGGCAGCAGUGGGGAAUAUUGGACAAUGGGCGAAAGCCUGAUCCAGCAAUGCCGCGUGAGUGAUGAAGGCCGUAGGGUUGUAAAGCGCUUUUACCCGGGAUGAUAAUGACAGUACCGGGAGAAUAAGCUCCGGCUAACUCCGUG
rnacentral:rRNA from 1 species